rnacentral:rRNA from 1 species
CCUACGGGGGCAGCAGUGAGGAAUAUUGGUCAAUGGGCGCAAGCCUGAACCAGCCAUCCCGCGUGCAGGAAGACGGCGCUAUGCGUUGUAAACUGCUUUUCCAGGGAGAGAAACUUGCGCACGUGUUGCGCAAUUGACGGUACCCUGGGAAUAAGCAUCGGCUAACUCCGUGCCAGCAGCCGCGGUAAUACGGAGGAUGCGAGCGUUAUCCGGAUUCAUUGGGUUUAAAGGGUGCGUAGGCGGACUAUUAAGUCAGUGGUGAAAGCCUGCAGCUUAACUGCAGAACUGCCAUUGAUACUGAUAGACUUGAGUGUGGUUAAGGUAGGAGGAAGGUGUAAUGUAGCGGUGAAAUGCUUAGAUAUUACACAGAACACCAAUUGCGUAGGCAGCUUACUGAGCCGACACUGACGCUGAGGCACGAAAGCGUGGGGAUCGAACA